rnacentral:rRNA from 1 species
AACGAACGCUGGCGGCGUGCCUAACACAUGCAAGUCGAACGAGAAAGGGGCUUCGGCUCCGAGUAAAGUGGCGCACGGGUGAGUAACACGUGGGUAACCUGCCUCUAAGAUUGGGACAACUCGUCGAAGAUGAGCUAAUACCGAAUAAGACCACAGUUCCUGCGGGAACAGGGGUCAAAGGUAGCCUCUGCUUGCAAGCUAUCACUUAGAGAUGGGCCUGCGCACCAUUAGCUAGUUGGUAGGGUAACGGCCUACCAAGGCAAAGAUGGUUAGCUGGUCUGAGAGGAUGAUCA